rnacentral:rRNA from 1 species
GUCGUCAGCUCGUGUCGUGAGAUGUUGGGUUAAGUCCCGCAACGAGCGCAACCCCUAUUGUUAGUUGCCAUCAUUCAGUUGGGCACUCUAGCGAGACUGCCGGUAAUAAACCGGAGGAAGGUGGGGAUGACGUCAAAUCAUCAUGCCCCUUAUGACCUGGGCUACACACGUGCUACAAUGGUUGGUACAACGAGUUGCGAGUCGGUGACGGCGAGCUAAUCUCUUAAAGCCAAUCUCAGUUCGGAUUGUAGGCUGCAACUCGCCUACAUGAAGUCGGAAUCGCUAGUAAUCGCGGAUCAGCACGCCGCGGUGAAUACGUUCCCGGGCCUU